rnacentral:rRNA from 1 species
CAGUAGCCACGGUAAUACAGAGGGUGCGAGCGUUAAUCGGAUUUACUGGGCGUAAAGCGUGCGUAGGCGGCUUCUUAAGUCGGAUGUGAAAUCCCUGAGCUUAACUUAGGAAUUGCAUUCGAUACUGGGAAGCUAGAGUAUGGGAGAGGAUGGUAGAAUUCCAGGUGUAGCGGUGAAAUGCGUAGAGAUCUGGAGGAAUACCGAUGGCGAAGGCAGCCAUCUGGCCUAAUACUGACGCUGAGGUACGAAAGCAUGGGGAGCAAACAGGAUUAGAGACCCCCGUAGUCCAUGUCUCUUAUAC